GGACGAACGCUGGCGGCGGGCUUAACACAUGCAAGUCGAACGGAAAGGCCCUGCUUUUGUGGGGUGCCCGAGUGGCGAACGGGUGAGUAACACGUGAGUAACCUGCCCUUGACUUUGGGAUAACUUCAGGAAACUGGGGCUAAUACCGGAUAGGAGCUCCUGCUGCAUGGUGGGGGUUGGAAAGUUUCGGCGGUUGGGGAUGGACUCGCGGCUUAUCAGCUUGUUGGUGGGGUAGUGGCUUACCAAGGCUUUGACGGGUAGCCGGCCUGAGGGGGUGACCGGCCACAUUGGGACUGAGAUACGGCCCAGACUCCUACGGGAGGCAGCAGUGGGGAAUAUUGCACAAUGGGCGGAAGCCUGAUGCAGCAACGCCGCGUGCGGGAUGACGGCCUUCGGGUUGUAAACCGCUUUCGCCUGUGACGAAGCGUGAGUGACGGUAAUGGGUAAAGAAGCACCGGCUAACUACGUG
rnacentral:rRNA from 1 species